rnacentral:lncRNA from 1 species
GGGGUCAGCCAAGCCAGUGGGAAGCCUACGACAUUCCCCUGGGUCACUUAGUGAACUCCUACUCUUUCAUCAGGCCUCACUUGAACAUGACUUCCUCCAGAAGCCUUCCCAGACAUCUUUGAGCUAGAAAGUCAGAAGAGUAGAAUUGGAACCCAGCUCAGUCUGAUGCCACAUCCUUUGUUGUUUCCAUUAAAUCAGAGAAUUUCUUAGUGCUGAGAAACUAUUCUGGAACUUACAACAAAGGCAAGUGGGAAGGGAGUCGCCUGGAAUUUGAUCUCUGUAGAUGCCUUUUUCAUUUAGUUUAUUUUUCAUUUUUAUCUGUUGCUUUGCUCUUAUCAAAUACAGAUAAAUAGCAGCUGCUACUGGUGCUGUUGAUUGCGAUUUCUGUUUGAAAAUGGAAUCUUGAGCAUCUGUUCUCUCCUUUUAUAUUUUACUGUGAGAGAAAAUCUAUUUUUUUCAAAAGGUAAUUCAUACACAUGGUAAAAAUUUAAACAAUAUAAAAACCUAUUUUUAAAAAACAU